rnacentral:lncRNA from 1 species
GGGGAAGCCAGUGCUACAGCGACCUUGCUGGUCCAAACAGUGUAGUUCUCCUCUGUUUAGUUAUUUACUCUCUUCUUUUCCAUCCCCGUUGUCUCUUCCAAGACCUGUUGCUGUUGUUUUGAGGCCAGGGCUUGAUGUGAAGCUUAGGUUGGCCUUGAACUCCUGAUCUUCCUGUCUCAGGCUAUUCAGGUUAUAAGACAAUUCCUGGGAAUGAUAUUGCAGUGAAAUUACUUGGCCCAAAUUACUACCAACUAUCCCUGCAUCUACCUCAAGGAAAGGAUGCCCUUUGAUGCUGUAACAGGCCUCUGAUGAUCACAAAUGGGAAUGUGCAACAGUAAACCUUCCAGUACCCUUUCUUCUAAGAAGUGCUGUACUGCUGUUUGUUCUUUAUCUUUUAUUUGAAUGUGAAUAAGAAAUAAAAUUUGGGGCUGGAGAGAUGACUUCAGUUUGAGAAAGCUUGCUGCUCCUUCAUAGCACCUGGAUUCAAUUCUCAGCACACACAUGACAUCUC